rnacentral:misc_RNA from 1 species
GAAAUUAUUCAACUCAUCAACCCUGUGAACUUACCUAAACGUUGCUUCGGCGGGAAUAGACGGCCCUGUAAAACGGGCCGCCCCCGCCAGAGGACCCUUAACUCUGUUUCUUAUAGUGUAUCUUCUGAGUAAAACAAGCAAAUAAAUUAAAACUUUCAACAACGGAUUCUUGGCUCUGGGCAUCGAUGAAGAACGCAGCGAAAAGCGAUAAGUAAUGUGAAUUUUUGCAGAAUUCAGUGAAUCAUCGAAUCUUUGAACGCCAUUGCGCCCGCCAGUAUUCUGGCGGCAUCCCGCCUGUUCGAGCGUCAUUACAACCCUCAGGCCCCCGGGCCUGGCGUUGGGGAUCGGCGGGCGCCCCUCGUGGGCGCCCGCCGUCCCCCAAAUAACAGUGGCGGUCCCGCCGGGCUUCCAUCGCGUAGUAGCUAACCCUCGCGACUGGCAGCGGCGCGGCCACGCCGUAAAACACCCAACUCUUCUGAAGUGACCUCGAAU